rnacentral:lncRNA from 1 species
AUGGGUAGAAAAACCACAGCCCGUAGACAUCCAUAUUUUAGAGGUCAAUCCAGUAGAGCUCCCAGGUCUCCCUCCCCAGACCGUCCUGCCUCACCACCCUUUGAGUUCCCUGUAGUUAGAGAGCAGGAUCCAGCUUUUGAGCCUUUUUCUCUCAGGUUUGUUCAUCCUGGGAGAACAAUCCAUGAUAAUAGUGUUGAGCUUUUUCGCACUCAGGGUUUCCUACAGCCCUUCAUUGUUCAGGGAUGGGACCACCUUCUUAUCACUCCAGCAGACACCCAUCCUAGGAUUGUUAGGGAGUUCUAUGCAAACCUACACACCUUCACCCGUCACACUCCUCCUC